GACGAACGCUGGCGGCGUGCUUAACACAUGCAAGUCGAACGGAAAGGCCUCUUUCGGGGGGUACUCGAGUGGCGAACGGGUGAGUAACACGUGAGUAACCUGCCCUUGACUUUGGGAUAACUUCAGGAAACUGGGGCUAAUACCGGAUAGGAGCUCCUGCUGCAUGGUGGGGGUUGGAAAGUUUCGGCGGUUGGGGAUGGACUCGCGGCUUAUCAGCUUGUUGUUGGGGUAGUGGCUUACCAAGGCUUUGACGGGUAGCCGGCCUGAGAGGGUGACCGGCCACACUGGGACUGAGAUACGGCCCAGACUCCUACGGGAGGCAGAAGGGGGGAAUAUUGCAUAAGGGGUGGAAGCCUGAUGCAGCAACGCCGUGUGCGGGAUGACGGCCUUCGGGUUGUAAACCGCUUUCGCUCAUGACGAAGCUUUGUGUGACGGUAGUGGGUAAAGAAGCACCGGCUAACUACGUG
rnacentral:rRNA from 1 species